UCCCAACUUCUUCCUCUCCUUCCCCGAUCCCCUCUGCUCACGCUGCCUCUCGCUCGCGGACGAAUCGGCGCCGAUAGGAACGGAGCUUCGACCUCCGGCGAUCUUCCUCCGCCGGCAUCGACGCCUAGUAAGCCCAGAUCCAGCCGAGGCCCUUCUCCUUCUAGCUCUGAUCUCUUCUCCUCGCCACUGGUUCUCUCACGAGGAUGAGCCGACGCUAUUGAAUCGAGCCCGAUCCACUCGAUCGCCGGUGUGGAGGAGGCAGUUAGGGCUUCGGUGGUUAUGGAUUUGGAGACAUUGGGGAUCAGUGAGGGAAGAAAUCCAGCAGGGAAGCUGUGUUCUGGAGGUGAUCAAAGGUGAUCUUGGGUUCCAGCAGUGAUGAUCCUCGGUUAUGGAUCAAUUGAUGAGGGUUGUGAGAUGAAUUGUGUGUUGUGGAUCCACAAGCGUGGCUAUGAAGUUUUGUUAUGUGCUGUGGUGUUCUUUAAUCCUUUCUUGGUUCCGGCAGCACACUAACCAGCAACCUCCUAGUUCCAACAUCAACAAUAGCUGGGAUUGAGGACGCUGAUUCGAGACGGGCGUCUCGACUUCGGAUUUUGAUUGACUGUACCUUCUAUUUAA